rnacentral:rRNA from 1 species
GUAAUGCCGGAUGCUCCGACUCCUCGCAUGGGGUGUCGGGAAAGAUUUCAUCGGUAUGGGAUGGGGUCGCGUCCUAUCAGGUAGUCGGCGGGGUAACGGCCCACCGAGCCUACGACGGGUAGCCGGCCUGAGAGGGCGACCGGCCACAUUGGGACUGAGAUACGGCCCAGACUCCUACGGGAGGCAGCAGUGGGGAAUAUUGCACAAUGGGCGCAAGCCUGAUGCAGCGACGCCGCGUGCGGGAUGACGGCCUUCGGGUUGUAAACCGCUUUUGAUCGGGAGCAAGCCUUCGGGUGAGUGUACCUUUCGAAUAAGCACCGGCUAACUACGUGCCAGCAGCCGCGGUAAUACGUAGGGUGCAAGCGUUAUCCGGAAUUAUUGGGCGUAAAGGGCUCGUAGGCGGUUCGUCGCGUCCGGUGUGAAAGUCCAUCGCUUAACGGUGGAUCUGCGCCGGGUACGGGCGGGCUGGAGUGCGGUAGGGGAGACUGGAAUUCCCGGUGUAACGGUGGAAUGUGUAGAUAUCGGAAAGAACACC